GGAAGGGCCAUGGCUUAGUGGGAGAACAUCUGCGUUACAUGCAGAAGGUCCCAGGUUCAAUCCAUGGCAUCUUCCA